CCUACGGGUGGCAGCAGUGGGGAAUAUUGGACAAUGGGCGAAAGCCUGAUCCAGCCAUGCCGCGUGUGUGAAGAAGGCCUUCGGGUUGUAAAGCACUUUCAGUGGGGAAGAAAGCCUUGGGGCUAAUACCCUCGAGGAAGGACAUCACCCACAGAAGAAGCACCGGCUAACUCCGUGCCAGCAGCCGCGGUAAUACGGAGGGUGCGAGCGUUAAUCGGAAUUACUGGGCGUAAAGCGCGCGUAGGCGGUCUGAUAAGCCGGUUGUGAAAGCCCCGGGCUCAACCUGGGAACGGCAUCCGGAACUGUCAGGCUAGAGUGCAGGAGAGGAAGGUAGAAUUCCCGGUGUAGCGGUGAAAUGCGUAGAGAUCGGGAGGAAUACCAGUGGCGAAGGCGGCCUUCUGGACUGACACUGACGCUGAGGUGCGAAAGCGUGGGUAGCAAACAGGAUUAGAUACCCGUGUCGUC
rnacentral:rRNA from 1 species